AGUGAACGCUGGCGGUAGGCCUAACACAUGCAAGUCGAACGGCAGCACAGUAAGAGCUUGCUCUUACGGGUGGCGAGUGGCGGACGGGUGAGGAAUACAUCGGAAUCUACUUUUUCGUGGGGGAUAACGUAGGGAAACUUACGCUAAUACCGCAUACGACCUACGGGUGAAAGCAGGGGAUCUUCGGACCUUGCGCGAAUGAAUGAGCCGAUGUCGGAUUAGCUAGUUGGCGGGGUAAAGGCCCACCAAGGCGACGAUCCGUAGCUGGUCUGAGAGGAUGAUCGGCCACACGGGAAGUGAGACACGGUCCAGACGCCUACGGGAGGCAGCAGUGGGGAAUAUUGGACAAUGGGCGCAAGCCUGAUCCAGCCAUACCGCGUGGGUGAAGAAGGCCUUCGGGUUGUAAAGCCCUUUUGUUGGGAAAGAAAAGCAGCAGGUUAAUACCACGCUGUUCUGACGGUACCCAAAGAAUAAGCACCGGCUAACUUCGUG
rnacentral:rRNA from 1 species